AGAGUUUGAUCCUGGCUCAGAUUGAACGCUAGCGGGAUGCUUUACACAUGCAAGUCGAACGGCAGCACGAGAGAGCUUGCUCUCUUGGUGGCGAGUGGCGGACGGGUGAGUAAUAUAUCGGAACGUGCCCAGUAGCGGGGGAUAACUACUCGAAAGAGUGGCUAAUACCGCAUACGCCCUACGGGGGAAAGGGGGGGAUCGCAAGACCUCUCACUAUUGGAGCGGCCGAUAUCGGAUUAGCUAGUUGGUGGGGUAAAGGCUCACCAAGGCAACGAUCCGUAGCUGGUUUGAGAGGACGACCAGCCACACUGGGACUGAGACACGGCCCAGACUCCUACGGGAGGCAGCAGUGGGGAAUUUUGGACAAUGGGGGAAACCCUGAUCCAGCCAUCCCGCGUGUAUGAUGAAGGCCUUCGGGUUGUAAAGUACUUUUGGCAGAGAAGAAAAGGCAUCCCCUAAUACGGGAUGCUGCUGACGGUAUCUGCAGAAUAAGCACCGGCUAACUACGUGCCAGCAGCCGCGGUAAUACGUAGGGUGCAAGCGUUAAUCGGAAUUACUGGGCGUAAAGCGUGUGUAGGCGGUUCGGAAAGAAAGAUGUGAAAUCCCAGGGCUCAACCUUGGAACUGCAUUUUUAACUGCCGAGCUAGAGUAUGUCAGAGGGGGGUAGAAUUCCACGUGUAGCAGUGAAAUGCGUAGAUAUGUGGAGGAAUACCGAUGGCGAAGGCAGCCCCCUGGGAUAAUACUGACGCUCAGACACGAAAGCGUGGGGAGCAAACAGGAUUAGAUACCCUGGUAGUCCACGCCCUAAACGAUGUCAACUAGCUGUUGGGGCCGUUAGGCCUUAGUAGCGCAGCUAACGCGUGAAGUUGACCGCCUGGGGAGUACGGUCGCAAGAUUAAAACUCAAAGGAAUUGACGGGGACCCGCACAAGCGGUGGAUGAUGUGGAUUAAUUCGAUGCAACGCGAAAAACCUUACCUACCCUUGACAUGUCUGGAAUGCCGAAGAGAUUUGGCAGUGCUCGCAAGAGAACCGGAACACAGGUGCUGCAUGGCUGUCGUCAGCUCGUGUCGCGAGAUGUUGGGUUAAGUCCCGCAACGAGCGCAACCCUUGUCAUUAGUUGCUACGCAAGAGCACUCUAAUGAGACUGCCGGUGACAAACCGGAGGAAGGUGGGGAUGACGUCAAGUCCUCAUGGCCCUUAUGGGUAGGGCUUCACACGUCAUACAAUGGUCGGGACAGAGGGUCGCCAACCCGCGAGGGGGAGCCAAUCUCAGAAACCCGAUCGUAGUCCGGAUCGCAGUCUGCAACUCGACUGCGUGAAGUCGGAAUCGCUAGUAAUCGCGGAUCAGAAUGUCGCGGUGAAUACGUUCCCGGGUCUUGUACACACCGCCCGUCAA
rnacentral:rRNA from 1 species